UCGAGAAAACUUUACAAUGCUGGCAACAGCGAUAAGGGAACCUCGAGUGCCAGGUUACAAAUCUGGCUGUCGAGAUGCCUAAAAAGCAUUUCAUAGCAAGGGCCGGGCAAGACCGGUGCCAGCCGCCGCGGUAACACCGGCGGCUCGAGUGGUAACCGUUAUUACUGGGUCUAAAGGGUCUGUAGCCGGCCGGAUAAGUCUCUUGAGAAAUCUGGCAGCUUAACUGUCAGGCUUUCAGGAGAUACUGUCUGGCUCGAGGCCGGGAGAGGUGAGAGGUACUUCAGGGGUAGGGGUGAAAUCUUGUAAUCCUUGAAGGACCACCAGUGGCGAAGGCGUCUCACCAGAACGGACCUGACGGCAAGGGACGAAAGCUAGGGGCACGAACCGGAUU
rnacentral:rRNA from 1 species